rnacentral:rRNA from 1 species
CUCUCGGCAACGGAUAUCUCGGCUCACGCAUCGAUGAAGAACGUAGCAAAAUGCGAUACUUGGUGUGAAUUGCAGAAUCCCGUGAACCAUCGAGUUUUUGAACGCAAGUUGCGCCUGAGGCCUCCCGGCUGAGGGCACGUCUGCCUGGGCGUCACGCAUCACGU